rnacentral:rRNA from 1 species
ACAUGCCAUGGGCGCAGCCUGAUGCAGCGACGCCGCGUGAGGGAUGAAGGCCUUCGGGUUGUAAACCUCUUUCAGUAGGGAAGAAGCGAAAGUGACGGUACCUGCAGAAGAAGCGCCGGCUAACUACGUGCCAGCAGCCGCGGUAAUACGUAGGGCGCAAGCGUUAUCCGGAAUUAUUGGGCGUAAAGAGCUCGUAGGCGGUUUGUCGCGUCUGCCGUGAAAGUCCGGGGCUUAACUCCGGAUCUGCGGUGGGUACGGGCAGACUUGAGUGAUGUAGGGGAGACUGGAAUUCCUGGUGUAGCGGUGAAAUGCGCAGAUAUCAGGAGGAACACCGAUGGCGAAGGCAGGUCUCUGGGCAUUAACUGACGCUGAGGAGCGAAAGCAUGGGGAGCGAACAGGAUUAGAUACCCUGGUAGUCCAUGCCGUAAACGUUGGGCACUAGGUGUGGGGGACAUUCCACGUUUUCCGCGCCGUAGCUAACGCAUUAAGUGCCCCGCCUGGGGAGUACGGCCGCAAGGCUAAAACUCAAUGAAAUUUGACGGA